GAUGAACGCUAGCGGGAGGCCUAAUACAUGCAAGUCGAACGGUAAGGUCCCUUCGGGGAUACACGAGUGGCGGACGGGUGCGUAACGCGUACGAAACAUACCUUCAACAGGGAGAUACCUCCGGGAAACUGGAAAUAAUACCCCAUAGUAUUGAGAUAUCGCAUGAUAUUUCAAUUAAAGCUUUGGCGGUUGAAGAUUGUCGUGCGUCUGAUUAGCUAGUUGGUGAGGUAACGGCUCACCAAGGCGACGAUCAGUAGCUGGUCUGAGAGGAUGAUCAGCCACACUGGAACUGAGACACGGUCCAGACUCCUACGGGAGCAGCAGUAGGGAAUAUUGGACAAUGGGCGGAAGCCUGAUCCAGCCAUCCCGCGUGUAGGAAUAAGGCCCUAUGGGUUGUAAAC
rnacentral:rRNA from 1 species